rnacentral:lncRNA from 1 species
ACAGGUGGUAGUGGGGGCCAGCAUUAAGCAAACCACAGAAAUGAAGCAAAUGCUGCAAAGAGCAAGUAAAACGUAAAGAAACGGGUUAGUACCUAUACCUGUCGCGCCGCCCGUCCCGGCUGCUGGUGCAGAGCUUGCUGAAGGAGACCAGCUUCAGGUCCAGCUCGUUCUCCAGCUGCCUCGCCUGCUUCCUGAGAUCUUCCCAGUAGUUGCUGCUCCCCGCCG